rnacentral:rRNA from 1 species
CCUACGGGUGGCAGCAGUGAGGAAUAUUGGUCAAUGGACGAGAGUCUGAACCAGCCAAGUAGCGUGAAGGAUGACUGCCCUAUGGGUUGUAAACUUCUUUUAUAUGGGAAUAAAAUGUUCCACGUGUGGGAUUUUGUAUGUACCAUAUGAAUAAGGAUCGGCUAACUCCGUGCCAGCAGCCGCGGUAAUACGGAGGAACCGAGCGUUAUCCGGAUUUAUUGGGUUUAAAGGGAGCGUAGGUGGAUUGUUAAGUCAGUUGUGAAAGUUUGCGGCUCAACCGUAAAAUUGCAGUUGAAACUGGCAGUCUUGAGUACAGUAGAGGUGAGCGGAAUUCGUGGUGUAGCGGUGAAAUGCUUAGAUAUCACGAAGAACUCCGAUUGCGAAGGCAGUUCACUGGACUGCAACUGACACUGAGGCUCGAAAGUGUGGGUAUCAAACAGGAUUAGAUACCCGUGUAGUC